GGCUCCAGGUCUGACGCCCUGCAUUGCAGUUACCUCAAUUCAGUAGACCCCACUGAUGAUUGUAGCUCCCACUGCUGUUGAGGAGGGUGUUCCCAGGGCUUUUGUUUUCAUUGCUCCGUGUGUCUAAACAGCACUUAGAAACCCCUGUUUGUGCAGCUGAUGAUAAUUACGAUCGUGGUUAAGCAUAUUGUGGCUAUCAUCAUUGUCUCUCGGGCCUGGUGCCAACACAUUGUAAUGUGGGCCCUUCUUGUCAGCAUCCUGAUGAGCGGUGUUGACCUCUGAGGGCUGACCUGCCUGCCCCUCUCUCUGCUGGGAGGAGCAGACAUAGCAGAAGGGAACUCUAAGAACAGAGACUUGGCUGUGUUUACUUUGAGGGGAUUCAGGAAAUGCUGCAACAAAAGGUCCUACAGGCCAAAAAAGGCGGCUUGCCCUCCAGAGAUAAGGGGGAUCAAAGGGAAUCUUCCAAGGCCUUCUGCCCCACAGACCAGCUCCUCAUGCUCCUCUCUCCUCUGCUGGAUGCAGCCUCUCUGGUCCAUUGUCCACUUUUGUCUGCCUUUCCUGCCCAAAAGGAGGAAGUGGACCCAGGCCCUGACAGUCCUGAUACACUGCCCUCUCCACCUUCCACCUUGGCCUUCCUAGAAGGAAGGGGAGAGGACUGGCAGGAGAGGGCAUGUGGAAACAGGCUUAAACCUACUCACAGAUGAAAUGGGAACAUACACACUCUCACCCCAGCAGGAGGGUGCUUGAGGUCAUCUCAUCCGUGCCCCCGCAUCCAUACACAGCUGUGUCUUCUGAGCACAGACUGUUUUGUGGACACUCUGCCAAUGACGCCAAAGUAGGCAGGGAUCUUUUCUACCUUUCCAGGCCUUCCUCACUAUUUUUUCCUUCCUCUGCACAGUGCUGGAGUGAUCAUCCUAAAAGCCUGAUUGGACCCACCCACCUGAAAUCUUUCAAUGCUCCCAAUCAGCUAAUAACACAGCCCAAAAUUUCCAAUGUCACUCAAGGUCUUUUAGAAUCCUUUCAUCCCCUACCCCUCCCACUUCUCCCAUCCUCUGCCUGGCUUUUAGCUGUUUUGCGCCCCCACCCCUCUUGUCUCCGAUAGGUGAUCACACCGAGGGGGCCAGGUGACUAGCUUAGGAAGUUAUCUUCAGAAGAGAAGAACAAGUAGGAGGGAGAAGAACAGGAAAGGAGGGAGAAGAAGAAGGAUCUGUAUCUCUGGGUCAAAGAAAAUCGGAAGAGGCGGGUUGAGGACAUCCUGCUACUUCCUCAUCAUUUUCUUGAGCAAAAAGGACAAUUAAAUAACAAAGUACCCCCAGGUAAUUUGGACUGUGGCCACCAGACUCGCUGCUUUAGAAAUCAUUUACUGCAACUACUGAUUGAGGAAACUGAGGCCAAAGGCACGGAAGGGGCUUGUCUCAGGUUGCCCAGCACAGGAGCAGCUGACCCUGGGCCAGAAUUCUCAUCUUCUGAAGGAAAUAAAAUGGGACUUCUACUACAUCCCAGUAAGAAGAGGGUGAAGAGACUGGGGAAGAGCACCAGAAAGGUGCCAUUUCACAUCUAAUCACUUCUUGUCACGUCGUAACCAUCUUCCUCAUACCAAGCCCCAUACUGAUAGAUCAGAAAUAACAUUUUCAAAGUUAUAUCUUCAAGGAAAUGGCUAUUAAUGUUCUUCUUCUCCUUUUAGAGCACUGAGGAAUACAUAUUAAUUUUCUCUCUACUUAUAUUGCCUAUUUGCAAAUUGUAUUCACUACCCAGUGCUCCAAUUUGUCCUACCCCUGAAGAGAUUAUGAUGAAUAAAUGUGUUCCUGGAAAUAAAGUAAAAUACAAAAUU